CGUACGGCUCAGUAACACGUAGUCAAUCUACCAUAAAGAGGAGAAUACCCAUGGGAAACUGUGGCUAAUACUCCAUAGGCCAGGGACUCUGGAAGGAACCCUGACUUAAAGGGGUGCGAAUUGGAGCGUUUCCGCUUUACGAUGAGACUGCGGCGGAUCAGGCAGAUGGCGGGGUAACGGCCCACCAUACCUAUAACCCGUAGGGGAUGUGGGAGCAUAGGCCCCGAGAAGGGCACUGAGACAAGGGCCCUAGCACUACGGUGUGCAGCAGGCGCGCAAACUCCACAAUGCGCGUAAGCGUGAUGGGGGGAAUCUGAGUGGUUCACUUUGUGAACCUUUUGCCAAGUAUAGCAAGCUUGGCGAAUAAGUGCUGGGCAAGACCGGUGGCAGCCGCCACGGUAAUACCGGCAGCACAAGUGGUGUCCACGAUUAUUGGGCUUAAAGCGCUCGUAGCCGGCUGAUGCCGUCUCGCGUGAAAUAUAGGCGCUCAACGUCAAUGCGUGCGCGAGAUACCCAUCGGCUAGGGAGCGGGUGAGGUCAGGAGUACUUAUAGGGGAGGGGUUAAAUCCUGUAAUCCUAUAAGGACUAACGGUGGCGAAGGCGCCUGACUAGAACGCAUCCGACGGUGUGGAGCGAAGGCUAGGAGAACGAAUCGGAUCAGAUACCCGAGUAGCCCUAGCAGUAAAUUAUGCAGACUCUGGUGUUGCAAGUAUCAUGAAUGCUUGCAGUACCGUAGCGUAAGUGUUAAGUCUGCCGCCUGGGGGAGUACGGGCCGCAAGGGUUAAAACUUAAAAGCAAUUUGGCGGGGGGUGCACACCAGUCCGCAUUCAUAACGCUAAUAAAAGAUUACAGCCUUAGAAUUGCGAGUAUUAUUCAUUGACCCGGAAACGAGCGAGACCCUCGCUUACAGUUGCUACCUGCUUAGAGAUAAGCAGGGCACUCUGUUAGGACCGCCUUCGUUUAAGGAGGAGGAAGGAGAGGGCGACGAUACGUCAGUAUGCUCUGAAUCUUCUGGGCUACACGCGGCAUACAAAGGUCGGCACAAUGAGAUGCAACACCGAAAGGUGAAGCUAAUCCCCUAAAACCGGCCCAAGUUCGGAUUGAGGGCUGAAACUCGCCCUCAUGAAGCUGGAAUCCCUAGUAAUCGCUUGUCACUAUCGAGCGGUGAAUACGUCCCUGCUCCUUGCACACACCGCCUACCAAGCCACCCAAGUGAGGUCUUAGUGAGGCAGCGCCACUGGCGUUUUCGAACUAAGGUUUCGCGAGGUGGGCUAAGGUAUAACAAGGUAUCCGUAGGGGAACCUGCGGAUAGAUCACCUCAAAAGGGC
rnacentral:rRNA from 1 species